rnacentral:rRNA from 1 species
AUUGAACGCUGGCGGCAUGCUUUACACAUGCCAGUCGAACGGCAGCGCGGGCUUCGGCCUGGCGGCGAGUGGCGAACGGGUGAGUAAUACAUCGGAACGUGCCCAGUAGUGGGGGAUAGCUCGGCGAAAGCCGGAUUAAUACCACAUACGACCUGCGCGUGAAAGCGGGGGAUCUUCGGACCUCUCGCUAUGGUAGGGGCCGAUGGGGGACUGGUUAGUUGGUGGGUUAAAGGCCUACUAAGGCGACGAUCGGUAGCUGGUCGGAGAGGACGACAGGCCACACGGGGACUGAGACACGGCCCAGACGCCUGAGGGAGGGAGCAGUGGGGAACUGGAGACAGUAGGCGAAAGCAUGAUCCAGCAAUGCCGAGUGUGAGGUGAAGGCGUUGGGGUUGUAAAGCACUUUUGGCGGGAACGAAAAGGACUGUGCCAAUACCACGGUUCGAUGACGGUACCCGCAGAAUAAGCACCGGCUAACUACGUG